rnacentral:rRNA from 1 species
CUGGCCCUAUUGGGCAUGUGCUCGCAUCAUAUUAUUUAUCUAUCUCUUGUGCACCUUUUGUAGUCUUUGAAGCGUUCGCAGUCAAUGCGGUUUGGGGUUUGGGCUUUUGCAGUCCUUUCCCUGUUUGCUUCAAAGGCUAUGUUUUAUACACACUAUUUGAAGUUACAGAAUGUCUCUUAUUGACCUUGAGUCAGUAAAUCAAUACAACUUUCAGCAACGGAUCUCUUGGCUCUCCCAUCGAUGAAGAACGCAGCGAAAUGCGAUAAGUAAUGUGAAUUGCAGAAUUCAGUGAAUCAUCGAAUCUUUGAACGCACCUUGCGCCCUUUGGUAUUCCGAAGGGCAUGCCUGUUUGAGUGUCAUUAAAUUCUCAACCUUGCAAGCUUUUUUGCUAGUGAGGCUUGGAUGUGAGGGCUUGCUGGCUUCCUUCAGUUGGAUGGUCUGCUCCCUUUAAAUUCAUUAGUGGAUUCCUUUGUGGAUGGUCACUUGGUGUGAUAAUUAUCUACGCCGCCUGACUCUGAUACAAGACUUGUGGGGACCUGCUCAUAACCGUCUCUUCGAGACAAUCUAUAUUGACAAUUUGACCUCAAAUCAGGUAGGACUACCCGCUGAACUUAAGCAUAUCAAUAAGCGGAGGAAAAGAAACUAACAAGGAUUCCCCUAGUAACUGCGAGUGAAGCGGGGAAAAGCUCAA